UAAUGAUAAUUUGAUUUGAAUAUAGCAAAUAAGUAAUGGCUAAUAGACCGAACGUUCUUUGUUCAACGAAGAUGUGGAUCGGGGUGGUUUAGCUACGUCCCUGAAUGCUAGUUGAGAUUAGUUAAGAUUUCGGAAGGGAGUAAUGGACGAGUUCAUGUUUAUGGAUACCACAAGACUCCUACAAAUGAAAUAGACCACCAAAAAAAAUGAGGCAUUGAUCGGCAAGGAAAAUGUAUAUAACUGAGGAAUAUUAGCUAAAAAGACACUGAGAAGAAGAAGAGCUGUUCAACAAUCCAGCAAGUAAACGAUCGAUUCUUCGGGCACGGCGAGCUGCUUUCCUCACGAAGGUUGCUAUUUAUAGAACUAGAACGGGUGGAACAUUGUAAUUCUGUGUAGAAUGAAAGAAAUAAUUUGCUUUGCGAAGAAUUAGCAUGGCAUAUGCCAACUUACUUCUUCAAUAAAAUACUACGCAUCUUACAUUACAUGUACUGCAUAUGUAACUUGUAAUAACACGAAUUUCACAGAA